GUGAUGCAAACAUGUAUUAA
rnacentral:snRNA from 1 species